GAUUGGUANUGGACGCAGUCUGAACCAGCCAUGCCGCGUGAAGGAUGAAGGUCCUCUGGAUUGUAAACUUCUUUUAUAUGGGACGAAACCCCCCGAUUCCUCGGGGAUUGACGGUACCAUAGGAAUAAGCACCGGCUAACUCCGUGCCAGCAGCCGCGGUAAUACGGAGGGUGCAAGCGUUAUCCGGAUUCACUGGGUUUAAAGGGUGCGUAGGAGGGCAGGUAAGUCAGUGGUGAAAUCUCCGAGCUUAACUUGGAAACUGCCGUUGAUACUAUCUGUCUUGAAUAUUGUGGAGGUGAGCGGAAUAUGUCAUGUAGCGGUGAAAUGCUUAGAUAUGACAUAGAACACCAAUUGCGAAGGCAGCUCGCUACACAUAUAUUGACUCUGAGGCACGAAAGCGUGGGGAUCAAACAGGAUUAGAUACCCUGGUAGUCCACGCCCUAAACGAUGGAUACUCGACAUACGCGAUACACAGUGUGUGUCUGAGCGAAAGCAUUAAGUAUCCCACCUGGGAAGUACGACCGCAAGGUUGAAACUCAAAAAAAUUGACGGA
rnacentral:rRNA from 1 species